GCGCACGUUGGCUGCACAGCCAGUAACAGCUGGGAAUGCGCUGUGGCGCAAACCACCGGCACUCAGACGUUGGCGAUGGUGGCGUUUGUGGCUGCUGCUGAGCGCCGCCCGGCGUCCGGUUCCUUUUACCAUCAGGCUUUCAGAUUCUUGCCUCAGGAGUCGUUUGGCGCAUCUGUGAAGCGGGGGUCGUUUUGUGGAUUGUGGGACGUCAUUGCCAUUUAACGGUGCUGUCGUGUCUGGUCAGUUCUGUAGAUCCGGACCACACUGGCUGGACUGUGGACUGGCACGUUACACUCACCUCUUGCUGAGACCACGCCACUGGAUAUCCCGUUGUGUCGCACAUCUGAGCCGGGAUGACCAACUCAGAUGUUCCUUACUUUAUAACUUAGAACUCAGAACGAAGGACAGUGGAGUGAGUGUUGAGAGCAUGCUUGGUCUGAUAAGUCAACCACGGUUCUGAUUCCUAGUCCUUACAGGUUCAACGGUCUGCAAGUAGUUCCUUGUCCUUUCCAGAAGGACAGGGAUAGAGCUCCAGGUUGAACAUCCUUCUGAAAAUCCAAAAUCUGAAUUGCUUGAACAUUGAAACUUUUCAAGCACCAACAUGACGCCCCAAUUGAAAAAUUCCACACCUGACCUCCUGUGACAGGGCACAGUCAAACACAGGCUCACAACACACAGUUUAGUCAGCGUCCCCGAGGGAAAAAAGACCCUCCAGCCCCUCAUCAGCUACAAUAUUUCUUUCCCACCCAGAUUCCCACAUUAAACAUGCCCACAAAGGGUGAUAAAAUGG